UUUGUUUCAGAAAUGAAGAAUUCUCUCCUAUUCAUCUGGUUUUGGAUUCCGUUUCAAAAUGGAGUCUCGCUCUAUUGGAGUACAACUGUGUGAUCCUGGUUCACUGGCAACCUCCGCCUCCUGGGUUCAAGCAAUUCUCCUGCCUCAGCCUCCCGAGUAGCUGGGACUGCAGGCACUUCCCACCACGACCAGCUAAUUUUUGUAAUUUUAGUAGAGACAGAGUUUCACCAUGUUGGCCAGGCUGGUCUUGAACUCCUGACCUCAAGUGAUCCGCCUGUCUCAGCCUCCCAAAGUGCUGGGAUUACAGGCGUAAGCCACCACACCUGGCCCAUAACUUCUUUCUUUUAGCAAAGGUUUGAAUGAAGUCAUCCACAAAAUCAUCUGGACCAUCAUAUUGAGGAAGUAAAAAGGUUGCAAAGAGUCAUGCACACCUCUUGAAUUUCUUCUCAGCUUUCCUGCCAUCCGUGUGAUUUUGAACGAGGAAUCUUAAGAAUACAAG